GAUGAAGAACGCAGCGAAAUGCGAUAAGUAAUGUGAAUUGCAGAAUUCAGUGAAUCAUCGAAUCUUUGAACGCACAUUGCGCCCGCCAGUAUUCUGGCGGGCAUGCCUGUCUGAGCGUCAUUUCAACCCUCAUGCCCCUAGGGCGUGGUGUUGGGGAUCGGCCAAAGCCCGCGAGGGACGGCCGGCCCCUAAAUCUAGUGGCGGACCCGUCGUCGCCUCCUCUGCGAAGUAGUGAUAUUCCGCAUCGGAGAGCGAUGAGCCCCUGCCGUUAAACCCCCAACUUUCCAAGGUUGACCUCAGAUCAGGUAGGAAUACCCGCUGAACUUAAGCAUAUCAAUAAGCGGAGGA
rnacentral:misc_RNA from 1 species